rnacentral:rRNA from 1 species
AUUGAACGCUGGCGGCAUGCCUUACACAUGCAAGUCGACCGGUAACGCGGGGCAACCUGGUGACGAGUGGCGAAAGGGUGAGUAAUGCAUUGGAACGUGCCUAGUAGUGGGGGAUCGCCCGGCGAAAGCCGGCUUAAUACCGUAUAAGCGCUACGGGUGAAAGCGGGGCACGGUACGGCCUCGCGAUAUUGGAGAGGUCUAUUUCAGAUUAGGUUGUUGGUGGGGUAAAGGCCUACCAAGCCGACGAUCUGUAGCUGGUCUGAGAGGACGACCAGCCACGCUGGGUCUGAGACACGGCCCAGACGCCUACGGGAGGCAGCAGUGGGGAAUUUUGGACAAUGGGGGCAACCCUGAUCCAGCCAUGCCGCGUGCGGGAAGAAGGCCUUCGGGUUGUAAACCGCUUUUGUCAGGGAAGAAACGCUCUGGGUUAAUACCUCGGGGUAAUGACGGUACCAGAAGAAUAAGCACCGGCUAACUACGUGCCAGCAGCCGCCGUAACAC